rnacentral:rRNA from 1 species
GACGAACGCUGGCGGCGUGCUUAACACAUGCAAGUCGAACGGAAAGGCCCUGCUUUUGUGGGGUGCUCGAGUGGCGAACGGGUGAGUAACACGUGAGUAACCUGCCCUUGACUUUGGGAUAACUUCAGGAAACUGGGGCUAAUACCGGAUAGGAGCUCCUGCUGCAUGGUGGGGGUUGGAAAGUUUCGGCGGUUGGGGAUGGACUCGCGGCUUAUCAGCUUGUUGGUGGGGUAGUGGCUUACCAAGGCUUUGACGGGUAGCCGGCCUGAGAGGGUGACCGGCGGGAGGGGAGCGGGGAGACGCCGCAGAACGCGAGGGGGGGAGGGGGGGGGGAAGAAGGAACGAGGGGAGGAAGCGUGAGGAAGGAGGGGGGCGGGGGGGAUGCGGGGGGUCGGGUGGGCGGCCGCGUUCGCGGGGGAGGGGGGGUGAGGGACGGUGAGGGGGAAGGAAGCACGGGGAAAAGACGGGCAAGCAGCAGGAGUGAUGGUCGGAGGAGCAAACGUCUGAAC